AAAAGUCAAUGCGGUGAGACAUUUAAAGUACCCGUACAUUCCAGUGUAGAAAGUGACUACACAUUUAAACAAGAAACUGAUUCAAGAAUGUGAAAGGAGAAU
rnacentral:ncRNA from 1 species